GACGAAGGGGGCUAGCGUUGUUCGGAAUUACUGGGCGUAAAGCGCGCGUAGGCGGCUCUUCAAGUCAGGCGUGAAAGCCCCGGGCUUAACCCGGGAUUAGCGCUUGAUACUGUUGGGCUUGAGUCCGGGAGAGGAUAGUGGAAUUCCCAGUGUAGAGGUGAAAUUCGUAGAUAUUGGGAAGAACACCAGUGGCGAAGGCGGCUAUCUGGACCGGAACUGACGCUGAGGCGCGAAAGCGUGGGGAGCAAACAGG
rnacentral:rRNA from 1 species